CAAGUCGAACGGAAAGGCCCUGCUUGCAGGGUACUCGAGUGGCGAACGGGUGAGUAACACGUGGGUGAUCUGCCCUGCACUUCGGGAUAAGCUUGGGAAACUGGGUCUAAUACCGGAUAGGACCGCACUUUAGUGUGUGUGGUGGAAAGUUUUUUCGGUGUAGGAUGAGCUCGCGGCCUAUCAGCUUGUUGGUGGGGUAAUGGCCUACCAAGGCGGCGACGGGUAGCCGGCCUGAGAGGGUGUACGGCCACAUUGGGACUGAGAUACGGCCCAGACUCCUACGGGAGGCAGCAGUGGGGAAUAUUGCACAAUGGGCGCAAGCCUGAUGCAGCGACGCCGCGUGGGGGAUGAAGGCCUUCGGGUUGUAAACUCCUUUCGCUAGGGACGAAGCUUUUUGUGACGGUACCUAGAUAAGAAGCACCGGCUAACUACGUGCCAGCAGCCGCGGUAAUACGUAGGGUGCGAGCGUUGUCCGGAAUUACUGGGCGUAAAGGGCUCGUAGGUGGUUUGUCGCGUCGUCUGUGAAAUUCUGGGGCUUAACUCCGGGCGUGCAGGCGAUACGGGCAUAACUUGAGUGCUGUAGGGGUAACUGGAAUUCCUGGUGUAGCGGUGAAAUGCGCAGAUAUCAGGAGGAACACCGAUGGCGAAGGCAGGUUACUGGGCAGUUACU
rnacentral:rRNA from 1 species